UCUUCCGGUAAACUUUAUUUAAGCUACCAAUUGUUUUAUGUGAAAAAAUUUAUUGCCAUUCGUAUUCGCUUCUCGGCUUCCUAUUGGACGAAAGCGCACGACGUUCCAUAGAAAUGCGGACAUUUUGGAUUUUGUUUAGUUUUCGUAACAUACUAACACUAAAACUGCCGGGUCAUGAUAAAAUAAAUGUACAGUGCCACCGUCUCUGUUUCUGCUAAAGCUUUAAAUCAAUUUUAAAGUUUCCGAACCGGGAGUUAAACUGAGCUGGACCUGGAAGAAAUGGUUUCCUCCCCGAUUACGUGGUACUGAUCCAGCGAACGUUAAAGUUUCGGCCUGAUGACCUGAUUUGUAUUCUCACCCUGCCUUCCAACAGAGGAUACGACGUAAGCUUUGGUUCCGGUGCGUUACUGAAAAAAUGUGGGACACGUUUUGAAAAUGCAAAGCCCCAGUUUUCAGCUUUUGACGUUGAGAAACUGACUGACAACUCCCUGAAAACGGAGACUGUCAGGAUGUUCAAUGAGACUGUCAGGGCUGAUUUUAAGAAGUAGAGAGAGAGAGAGAAAUAAAAUGAGAAAAAUGUACAAGAUACGUUAAAAAACCCAAUUAUCCAAGUUUUAUUUCUGAAUUAAAGAAAUAAAAUGGAAACAUUGUAUCAAACAUAGAAGAAAAGUAAAAAAGUGAUCAAAAAGUUUUACAGUGAAUUAUAUACAGAAAAAACUGUCAGUGAAGAAAAUAUAAGAGAAACCUUAGAUUUAAUUGAAAAAGGUAUCAAAUAAACGAGUUUUUUUAGAGGAUUUUACCCUUUUAGAGGUUUUACAGUCUGAAAAGUUUUAAAAGAGGAAAAUCUCCGGGCUCAGAUUGACUCCCCUAAGAAUUUUCUGAUUUAAUCAUCGUUUUUACUGAUUUUACCAAACUAGACAAAUUCCAGGAAUAGUUGCACUUUUAUAUAAAGACAAAAGAGACCUUAAAACUGGAGACCCAUCACCUUUUUAAACGUAGAUUGUAACAGUUUUAGUAAACUUUUAGCAGCCCGGAUGCGCCGAGUGUUGGGGGAUCUAAUCCAAGAAGAGAAACAUCCAGAGCUGCAGGUGGCGCUCUAAGGACACAGCCACAGAGAAGAAUCGCCUGUGGAGAAGGAGCCGGCGCUCCACGGACGGACGGAGGAAACCGGCAGCGGCGGCCCGGCUCUCCGGGUGAGGCAGGAGGGAAGGAGCUGCAGGACCGGGAUCCCCUCUGAGGACCGGCGCUGCUUGGAAGAACGGGACGGAUCCGAAGUUUUGACGUCUCCUCCUCCUCCUGAUCCACCUCCACCUGUGCUGCCUGCUGCUCCGCUCCCUGAUCCAGACGCCGGAGCAGCUCCUGACCCCGAACUGGCUCCGGAUGCCGACGCGGAUCCCGCUGGAGCCGGAACGACGCCCAGGAUGGUGGAGACCUCUCCCUGCAUGAAGGCCCAGGGCGGGCUGUUGGGGGAGUUAUCCAGCGGGCAGCGCUCUCCGCUGGGGCAGUACACCUCGCCGUCGCCCCGCCGGCUCUGGAUGUACACUCUGGUGCAGGGGAAGCAGAACCUGCAUUUGAAAUGAGAGACAGGAAACACUUAUGAGAAUACAACUAGUAUAGAGCCGUUACAAUUUCCAUCUCCCUUCUGAAGGGCAAAAGAGCUACUGCUAGCUGAGGUUUAGCAUUGGUUUUAGCUCUUUAUAUUAAAUGUAUGCUUGAUAUAUAAAAGACAAAAAGGUGCAGUGCUUUGCUACUAAUUGCCAACACCACAUAAACUAGAUAACAAGGUCAGGAAAAAGUUUUAAAAAAAGAAAAAAUAGGAAGGGAGAGGAAAGUAGUUCGGCAAUACUAGCUUGACUUUGACAACUUUAGCAUGGAACUGUGCUGUGGAAUUUGGUGUUUCAAUUCAGUUAAAAAAUAAAAAAUAUGCGACCUAAACUACUCUCUGACAGGUCAUAAGAGCAGAUAUUUAAAUCAGCUAAUCUACCACCGCUGUGUUAAAUGUUCUUAGAGUUUAAAGUUUAAAUGUGGAUACUUACAAUACUAAGCCAUUAUUAGUUUUUGUUUAAAAUGAUCUUAAAAUGACAAUAUUAUUGUUUAUCGCAAUGAUUUCUGGGACAAUUUAUUAUCCAGUAAAACUUGGUAUUGUGACAGGCCUACUAAUUAUUGUUUUAGUUACUAAUUGUUCUAUUGACUUAUCGAAUAAAAAGGUUUGGCAUA